UCCUACGGGGCGCAGCAGUGGGGAAUAUUGCACAAUGGGGGAAACCCUGAUGCAGCGACGCCGCGUGAGUGAAGAAGUAUUUCGGUACGUAAAGCUCUAUCAGCAGGGAAGAAAAAAAGUCCUUUGGACUUUGGACGGUACCUGACCAAGAAGCCCCGGCUAACUACGUGCCAGCAGCCGCGGUAAUACGUAGGGGGCAAGCGUUAUCCGGAUUUACUGGGUGUAAAGGGAGCGUAGGCGGUUUGGCAAGUCAGAAGUGAAAGCCCGGGGCUCAACUCCGGGACUGCUUUUGAAACUGUUGAACU
rnacentral:rRNA from 1 species